GCGCUUGUCUCAGCAGCACAUAUACUGAUGAUGGCAUGAUAUAGACAAGACGGACAUAGCCCUGCACUAGGGUGACAUGUAAAUUUGUGAAGCGUCUCGUAUUUAG
rnacentral:snRNA from 1 species